CGAUUGAAAAAAAAAAAAAAAAAAAAAAAAAAAAAAAAAAAAAAA
rnacentral:ribozyme from 13 species